UCCUCGUGAGCUUCUGAUGGGAGCGGAUGCUAGAUACUGCUUCGGGAGAUUCAACGCUCCAAAACGAGAGAGAAAUUAAGGGUCAGAGAAGCUGAAUACAAUUGAGAGUGAUGUCUUGAAGUGGGUUUCAUCUGCAAAUGUCCUGGUUCAUUUGAUGUACAUGUUGAGUUCCUUGGCCAGGUUUUUUUCCCUGUUCUUGUUCCAUGUGAGUUCCCUUGCUGGAUUUGCCCCGGAUGAAUC